CAGUCGCCGCGGGAAUACGAAGGGUGCAAGCGUUAAUCGGAAUUACUGGGCGUAAAGCGUGCGUAGGCGGUGAGUUAAGUCUGCUGUGAAAUCCCCGGGCUCAACCUGGGAAUGGCAGUGGAUACUGGCUCGCUAGAGUGUGUCAGAGGAUGGUGGAAUUCCCGGUGUAGCGGUGAAAUGCGUAGAGAUCGGGAGGAACAUCAGUGGCGAAGGCGGCCAUCUGGGACAACACUGACGCUGAGGCACGAAAGCGUGGGGAGCAAACAGGAUUAGAGACCCCCGUAGUCCCUGUCUCUUAUAC
rnacentral:rRNA from 1 species